rnacentral:rRNA from 1 species
AUUGAACGCUGGCGGCAUGCCUUACACAUGCAAGUCGAACGGUAACAGGUCUUCGGAUGCUGACGAGUGGCGAACGGGUGAGUAAUACAUCGGAACGCGCCUAGUAGUGGGGGAUAACUACUCGAAAGAGUGGCUAAUACCGCAUGAGAUCUACGGAUGAAAGCAGGGGAUCGCAAGCCCUUGUGCUACUAGAGCGGCCGAUGGCAGAUUAGGUAGUUGGUGGGAUAAAAGCUUACCAAGCCGACCAUCUGUAGCUGGUCUGAGAGGACGAUCAGCCACACUGGGACUGAGACACGGCCCAGACUCCUACGGGAGGCAGCAGUGGGGAAUUUUGGACAAGGGGCGAAAGCCUGAUCCAGCAAUGCCGCGUGCAGGAUGAAGGCCUUCGGGUUGUAAACUGCUUUUGUACGGAACGAAAAGCCCCGGGUUAAUACCCUGGGGUCAUGACGGUACCGUAAGAAUAAGCACCGGCUAACUACGUGCCAGCCGCCGCAGUAA